rnacentral:rRNA from 1 species
AGCGAACGCUGGCGGCAGGCCUAACACAUGCAAGUCGAACGAACCUUUCGGGGUUAGUGGCGGACGGGUGAGUAACACGUGGGAACGUGCCUUUAGGUUCGGAAUAACUCAGGGAAACUUGUGCUAAUACCGAAUGUGCCCUUCGGGGGAAAGAUUUAUCGCCUUUAGAGCGGCCCGCGUCUGAUUAGCUAGUUGGUUGAGGUAAUGGCUCACCAAGGCGACGAUCAGUAGCUGGUCUGAGAGGAUGAUCAGCCACAUUGGGACUGAGACACGGCCCAAACUCCUACGGGAGGCAGCAGUGGGGAAUCUUGCGCAAUGGGCGAAAGCCUGACGCAGCCAUGCCGAGUGAAUGAUGAAGGUCUUAGGAUUGUAAAAUUCUUUCACCGGGGAAGAUAAUGACGGUACACGGAGAAGAAGCCCCGGCUAACUUCG